CGCCGAGGUCCGGAGUCAGUGGGUUAUCAUCAUUUGACGAAUCGAAUCACCCCACUGGCAAUCACUUGACCUGCGC
rfam:Oesophagostomum dentatum strain OD-Hann O_dentatum-1.0_Cont7572.4, whole genome shotgun sequence.